UGUAUGCAUAGGGACCAACUGGAACAGAAUUUAAAAGCAGAAAUUGUUACCGUAUUAUGGUAUUAGAAUUAUCAGCAGCUUCUUUCCGUUUAUACAAGUGUUUGGUUUAAAUCUCAAAUUAAUGACUCAAAUAAAAUGACUUAAGAGUGAGGAAGCACCACAAAAUUUAUUAUUUUCUAUAUAAAGCCUAACUGUAAAAGCUUUAUAAUCAAAUCUUUCAAUAUGUAUGAGUGAAAGAGGGGAAAAGGGGUAGGAAGGGAAAAAGAUUAGUCAAGCAAAUAAAUGCCUUUAAGGAUGCAUGCAUAGAUUGGUUGAUUGGCAUUUCAUAUACUCUGCCCUAGUCCGAGGUAAGAAAUGAAGCAAGAACCAAAAUGUAACCCUAGAGAAAACAGCUGGAUGGUUCUUCACCAAACUACCCUUGUAUUCCAGUAGCUUUUAUUCCAGAAGAAUGGAAAACAUGGUCAAGCAACAACUAGUACCCACAUGUUCCCAGAGGCACAAUUCACCAUGGCCAAAAGGCAGAAACAGCUCAGGUGUCCACCUGAAGAGGAAUGGAUGAACAAGAUGGAGUCCAUCCAUACAAUGGUGAAAUACUCAGCCUUGGAAAGAAGAAAGCACUGAGACCUGGGAAAACAUGCAGAAACUGGAAAGUCUCAUGCUAAGGGCAAAAACUCAGGAGGAGGCACCCAAUGGUCUGAUGAGAGGUCACACACCACAGCAUGGCCACCAAGGAACCAAGAUGGAAGCCUUCAUUUUUCUGAAGCUAGCGCUCUUCCAACAUCAAAUGAAGGAGAGAGUUCUCCAACAGGAAAUAGGAGUGGAUGCCAGAAACCAAAAACAAAGAUUGCAAAAACCUCUACAAAGAGAUAACAGAGAUUUGCUUUGACCUUGACCCUGCCUCUCCCAUCCUGCUGUAUUUUUCAUCCUGCUGUAGAGUUCUCAGCCUCAGAAUCUCCUGCCACAGGCUUUUUCUAUAACAACUUUUGCAGUUGAAAAGAAAAUUCUGUAUUCACAACCUACCAAGGCAGAAACACAGAAGAUCUCUUGACCAAGAGUUAAAUGACCUACCUUGAGAUAGUACUAUGAGAUGCUCACAUGGUUACAGUGUUCCAGCAGAUAAGGGCCUCUCGUUACCAGAUGGAGGCCCGGUGCACCACUAUAAAUUCAAUUCCCCCAACUGCAGAACAAGUGAUUUUGAGUGAGUCACUUUCUAAGCCCCAGAUUGUGGCCUCUCUCAAGUAAGGUUAACAAUCCCUGUCUUGUCGAGCUGCUAUGUGAAGCAAAAGCAGUAGCAAGGAAAAAAGAUCUGGCAAAACACCUGACACAUACAAAGAUCUUGAAUAUGAAUUUAUUUAUCUUCUCUUAAAAUGUAUAAGCUAGUUAGAAAGACCAGACACAUCCUUUCAGUGAGCAGAAAAUGAGUUUUAAAAUAAUGCUAUCCCGGAGUUUUCAAAAUAUAAAUAGCUGCACAAUUCCCCUUUGCAAACAGCAUGGCGCUAUGACUUGAAUUCCCCCCAACACAAAAAUAAAAACUCAUGUUGAAA